rnacentral:rRNA from 1 species
GACAGAGGCCUCAAGCGUUAGGCGGAAUCACUGGGCUUAAAGCGUGUGUAGGCGGAUCGUUAAGUGUCUUGUGAAAUCCCACGGCUCACCCGUGGAACGGCUGGGCAUACUGGCGAUCUUGGGCCAACUAGGGGCAACUGGAACAAGCGGUGGAGCGGUGAAAUGCGUAGAUAUCGCUUGGAACGCCGAAGGUGAAAACAGGUUGCUGGGGUUGUGCCGACGCUGGAGACACGAAAGCCAGGGGAGCGAACGGG